UACGUAGGGUGCAAGCGUUGUCCGGAAUUAUUGGGCGUAAAGAGCUCGUAGGCGGUCUGUCGCGUCUGCUGUGAAAACCUAGGGCUUAACUCUGGGCGUGCAGUGGGUACGGGCAGACUAGAGUGCGGUAGGGGAGAUUGGAAUUCCUGGUGUAGCGGUGGAAUGCGCAGAUAUCAGGAGGAACACCGAUGGCGAAGGCAGAUCCCUGGGCCGUAACUGACGCUGAGGAGCGAAAGCGUGGGGAGCGAACAGG
rnacentral:rRNA from 1 species